rnacentral:lncRNA from 1 species
AGACAUGGAGAAGAAUAUAUGCUGGUAAUAUAGCUGUUCCAUUGGAUUGAUGGAUGUUCUGUAACUGUAAGUAAUUACUCUUAGCUCUCUGUAUGUAUAUAGCUCAGCUUGCUGCUAGUGAUUAGGUACUGUACUGCUCAGGCUUAUCUGAAUAUAUAGCCCUAUUACUUACUAGUGGGCGUCUCAAAAACCUUUGUAAGCUUCCGUGACUGACCCUCAUGAUCAGAAUACAACACUGCAUGGUCUGUAUGGGCAAAUGCCUAAUUAUAAAAAUGGCCAUCCAUACCAUUUCGAUAGUUUCAGAAAUCCUAAUUCUUCUCCCUUGUCAAAAACAAAAGGAGAGGCACAUAAUCAUGAAGACAAAGCGCCAAAGCAGUAGGGAACCUUGAAAAGCAGAAUAUUGUAGCUGGAGUUCUUGGUUGCAGUGGGCCAGUCAAGACUAUUGAAGUGAUCAGAUGUGUAUUCCAUGAACAUUGAACUGAUUAGAUAUUCACACAGGCACAUUGCUUUCAGAUAAUACAUCAUGUUGUAAAAUAAUUGAGCUUCGACAACCACCGCAAGAAAACUAACAUUGACUUGACUUACAGGUUCUCUGGGUGCUUCUUGAUGGCUCAUGGCUUCAACAAUAAGACUAGCAUGAUGCCCCAUUCUCACCAACCCAUGGCACUAUUUUGAUGAUUUCAGAUUCUGAAGCGCGCAAGGAGGCCACCACAGGUCCAAAUCUGGUCAGAUCU